AUGGUCACGGCCACCCAAUCCGACGGCUUCAUGCCUAUGUGGAACCAUGCUGAUUGCAUAAUGAAGAAAGCAAAGCAGAUAAAAUCAACCGAUGAUGUUGAAGGCCUAGAGCUCCUUCGUUGGGAAGAUCAGAAGGAAAUUAGAAACUAUGUACAAAGUGGUGGACCCCCAGAUACAAUAACAAUUAAUUAUUUCUUUUUCUUGUUUUUGCUUUUGCUUUCGGCGGUAGACAAAGGCAUGCAAAGAUGA
rnacentral:lncRNA from 1 species